AACAAACGCUGGCGGCGUGCCUAAUACAUGCAAGUCGAACGGGGAAAGCUUUCGGGUGAGUACUAGUGGCGCACGGGUGAGGAACGCGUGGAUAAUCUGCCUUAGAGUGGGGGAUAACUAGUCGAAAGAUUAGCUAAUACAGCAUAAGACCACAGGAGCUGCGGCUCUAGGGGUCACAGGUUUUUCGCUCUAAGAUGAGUCCGCGUAAGAUUAGCUAGUUGGUGAGGUAACGGCUCAACAAGGCGACGAUCUUUAACGUGUCUGAGAGGAUGAUCAGUCACACUGGAACUGAGACACGGUCCAGACUCCUACGGGAGGCAGCAGUAGGGAAGAUUGCACAAUGGAGGAAACUCUGAUGCAGCGACGCCGCGUGAGUGAUGAAGGCCUUCGGGUCGUAAAGCUCUGUCGCAGGGGAAUAACACAAUGAAUGUACCCUGUAAGAAAGGAUCGGCUAACUUCGUGCCAGCCGCCGCAGUAACAC
rnacentral:rRNA from 1 species